rnacentral:rRNA from 1 species
UACGGGGGGAGCAAGCGUUGUUCGGAUUUACUGGGCGUAAAGGGCGCGUAGGCGGUCAGCACAAGUCAGUUGUGAAAUCUCCGGGCUUAACUCGGAAAGGUCAACUGAUACUGCGGGGCUAGAGUGCGGAAGGGGCAACUGGAAUUCUUGGUGUAGCGGUGAAAUGCGUAGAUAUCAAGAGGAACACCUGCGGCGAAGGCGGGUUGCUGGGCCGACACUGACGCUGAGGCGCGAAAGCUAGGGGAGCGAACGGG